UACGUAGGCAGCAAGCGUUGUUCGGAGUUCCUGGGCGUAAAGGGUGCGUAGGCGGUUGUUUAAGUUUGGUGUGAAAUCUCCCGGCUCAACUGGGAGGGUGCGCCGAAUACUGAAUGACUAGAGUGCGGGAGAGGAGAGUGGAAUUCCUGGUGUAGCGGUGAAAUGCGUAGAUAUCAGGAGGAACACCGGUGGUGUAGACGGCUCUCUGGACCGUAACUGACGCUGAGGCACGAAAGCGUGGGUAGCAAACAGG
rnacentral:rRNA from 1 species